rnacentral:lncRNA from 1 species
UAUCUUCUACUUCUUAUUAGUCACACUUUUACAACGAUUGUAAAACAUAGUUACUAAUACGGAAUCAUGCAUUCAAGUAGAAGAACCAACUGUUUUGAACUUUUCAAGAACAUUUUACAACACCUUCGAAAGGUGUGUUCUUGACACUUGCAAGACAUUUCUUGCAAAUACCCCUUCCAAUGUCCAUCCUUUCAUAAAGAAAGUUUGUUCCCUUGGAGUUAUUUAUCUUCUUUAUCUUGACUUUCACCUUUGACUACAUUAGUCAUGGUCCCUAAACUCCCACUAUCUCUCUUGAAACCUUUUUCAAUUGUGUUAUACACAUCAAACAAUUUUGGAGAGCAUGUGGUUUUUGUUCACUACAUAGUUUACAAUAAACUUAGUGA